rnacentral:rRNA from 1 species
GAUUGAACGCUGGCGGCAGGCCUAACACAUGCAAGUCGAGCGGAAACGAUGGAAGCUUGCUUCCAGGCGUCGAGCGGCGGACGGGUGAGUAAUGCAUAGGAAUCUGCCCGAUAGUGGGGGAUAACCUGGGGAAACCCAGGCUAAUACCGCAUACGUCCUACGGGAGAAAGCAGGGGAUCUUCGGACCUUGCGCUAUCGGAUGAGCCUAUGUCGGAUUAGCUAGUUGGUGAGGUAACGGCUCACCAAGGCCGCGAUCCGUAGCUGGUCUGAGAGGAUGAUCAGCCACAUCGGGACUGAGACACGGCCCGAACUCCUACGGGAGGCAGCAGUGGGGAAUAUUGGACAAUGGGCGAAAGCCUGAUCCAGCCAUGCCGCGUGUGUGAAGAAGGCUUUCGGGUUGUAAAGCACUUUCAGUGGGGAAGAAAUCCUCGGGGCCAAUACCCUCGAGGGAGGACAUCACCCACAGAAGAAGCACCGGCUAACUCCGUGCCAGCAGCCGCGGUAAUACGGAGGGUGCGAGCGUUAAUCGGAAUUACUGGGCGUAAAGCGCGCGUAGGCGGCGUGAUAAGCCGGUUGUGAAAGCCCCGGGCUCAACCUGGGAACGGCAUCCGGAACUGUCAGGCUAGAGUGCAGGAGAGGAAGGUAGAAUUCCCGGUGUAGCGGUGAAAUGCGUAGAGAUCGGGAGGAAUACCAGUGGCGAAGGCGGCCUUCUGGACUGACACUGACGCUGAGGUGCGAAAGCGUGGGUAGCAAACAGGAUUAGAUACCCUGGUAGUCCACGCCGUAAACGAUGUCGACUAGCCGUUGGGGUCCUUGUGACCUUUGUGGCGCAGUUAACGCGAUAAGUCGACCGCCUGGGGAGUACGGCCGCAAGGUUAAAACUCAAAUGAAUUGACGGGGGCCCGCACAAGCGGUGGAGCAUGUGGUUUAAUUCGAUGCAACGCGAAGAACCUUACCUACUCUUGACAUCGUGCGAACUUUCCAGAGAUGGAUUGGUGCCUUCGGGAACGCACAGACAGGUGCUGCAUGGCCGUCGUCAGCUCGUGUUGUGAAAUGUUGGGUUAAGUCCCGUAACGAGCGCAACCCUUGUCCCUAUUUGCCAGCGAUUCGGUCGGGAACUCUAGGGAGACUGCCGGUGACAAACCGGAGGAAGGUGGGGACGACGUCAGGUCAUCAUGGCCCUUACGAGUAGGGCUACACACGUGCUACAAUGGCCGGUACAAAGGGUUGCGAAGCCGCGAGGUGGAGCUAAUCCCGAAAAGCCGGUCUCAGUCCGGAUCGGAGUCUGCAACUCGACUCCGUGAAGUCGGAAUCGCUAGUAAUCGUGAAUCAGAAUGUCACGGUGAAUACGUUCCCGGGCCUUGUACACACCGCCCGUCACACCAUGGGAGUGGACUGCACCAGAAGUGGUUAGCCUAACUUCGGAGGGC